ACGCUGGCGGCAGGCCUAACACAUGCAAGUCGAGCGGUAGGGAGAAGCUUGCUUCUCUUGAGAACGGCGGACGGGUGAGUAAUGCCUAGGAAUCUGCCUGGUAGUGGGGGAUAACGUUCGGAAACGGACGCUAAUACCGCAUACGUCCUACGGGAGAAAGCAGGGGACCUUCGGGCCUUGCGCUAUCAGAUGAGCCUAGGUCGGAUUAGCUAGUUGGUGGGGUAAUGGCUCACCAAGGCGACGAUCCGUAACUGGUCUGAGAGGAUGAUCAGUCACACUGGAACUGAGACACGGUCCAGACUCCUACGGGAGGCAGCAGUGGGGAAUAUUGGACAAUGGGCGAAAGCCUGAUCCAGCCAUGCCGCGUGUGUGAAGAAGGUCUUCGGAUUGUAAAGCACUUUAAGUUGGGAGGAAGGGCAGUAAAUUAAUACUUUGCUGUUUUGACGUUACCGACAGAAUAAGCACCGGCUAACUCUGUGCCAGCAGCCGCGGUAAUACAGAGGGUGCAAGCGUUAAUCGGAAUUACUGGGCGUAAAGCGCGCGUAGGUGGUUCGUUAAGUUGGAUGUGAAAUCCCCGGGCUCAACCUGGGAACUGCAUUCAAAACUGACGAGCUAGAGUAUGGUAGAGGGUGGUGGAAUUUCCUGUGUAGCGGUGAAAUGCGUAGAUAUAGGAAGGAACACCAGUGGCGAAGGCGACCACCUGGACUGAUACUGACACUGAGGUGCGAAAGCGUGGGGAGCAAAC
rnacentral:rRNA from 1 species